rnacentral:rRNA from 1 species
GACGAACGCUGGCGGCGUGCCUCAUACAUGCAAGUCGAACGCAGUGGGGACGGGUGAGUAACACGUGGGUAACCUCCCCUCAGAGGGGAUAACACUUGGCAACAGGUGCUAAACCGAUAUUGAUGGGUGUACCCGCGGUGCAUUAGCUAGUUGGUGAGGUAACGGCUCACCAAGGCCACGAUGCAUAGCCGACCGGAGAGGGGUAUCGGCAACACUGGGACGGAGACAAGGCCCAGACUCCGACGGGAGGCAGCAGUAGGGAAUCUGCGGCAAUGGACGAAAGUCUGACCGAGCAACGCCGCGUGAGUGAAGAAGGUUUUCGGAUCGUAAAACUCUGUUGUUAGAGAAGCGGUAUCUAACCAGAAAGCCACGGCUAACUACGUGCCAGCAGCCGCGGUAAUUC